GUUGUCUCUUUGAUAUAUUCCCUAUUUCUAUUCUCAAUGUUAAAUAUAUAAUUUGUCAAAAUAUGACAGACGAAUAGCUGCAAUGCCCUACACCCUCAAAGUGUAUCAAUAUUGGUGCCGGAUAUGUUACUAUGGCUGGAAAUCUCGUUAAAUACAAAGAACUUCCAUGUUUACCGUCUACGACCCAUCUGUAUACACAAUAUGAUGGCAGGGGUCUUCCACAUACUACGUACAAAAUCAAUGCCAAAUGGCAUAAGACCUGCCAUCUAAACACAGAACUAAAGAGAGCUAAAAUAAGACAUCAAAAGGAUACAGAUGAUAUGUAAAAAAAAACUGGCAAUCGGAGCUGGAAACCCACCCGCACGAUCAAUGUGUACAAAUGCUUCAGUACACAACUUUAUUAGAGAAGCUCAGUGCUGGGUACCUCUCUGUACAAGAAACGAAAUAUCAUGUCCAAUGUCUUGCUUAUCUUUAUCGAC
rnacentral:lncRNA from 1 species